GCUGGGUGCAGUGGCAUGUGCUCUAGUCCCAACUACUCAGGAGGCUGAGGUGGGAGGAUCACUUGAGCCCAGGAGUUCUGGGCUGUAGUGCGCUAUGCCAAUCGGGUGUCCACACUAAGUUUGGCAUCAAUAUGGUGACCUCCCAGGAGCGGGGGACCACCAGGUUGCCUAAGGAGGGGUGAACCAGCCCAGAUCGGAAACGGAGCAGGUCAAAACUCCUGUGCUGGUCAGUAGUGGGAUUGCACCUAUGAAUAGCCAUUGCACUCCAGCCUGGGCAACAUAGUGAGAUCCCGUUUCU
rnacentral:SRP_RNA from 1 species